CCGUCGCGCCCGGUCGCUCCCUCAUGUCUUUUAUAGAGGGAACAGUCGAGAGGGAGUAGAGAAGGGCAGGGGGAGGAGAAGGGGUACGGCGGCGGUGAGGGAGGACCGCCGGAACAGAGGAGGUGGAGAGGAGGUGGGGGAGGAGGAAGGAACGGAGGUGUGGGCCGAUCGUACCGGGCUGGUGCGCUUAGUAGGAGCAGCAGUCCGGCUGCCUCUCCUCACCGCCUAGGUGGAGGAGAACCCGCAGAGCCGGUCUCUUCCUAAAAAAGUCGAUCCGGUCGCCUACCCCUUACUGCCGCAGGGUCGCCGAGGGCGGGACGCCGCGGGGAGAGUGCGGCGGGCAGAGGCGGAGGAGGGGACGCAGGAACGACGGUAGCCGCCGGAGACGCGUGGGAGCGGAAGCUGUAGGGGCACUAGGGAGAGAGAGGGGCCCUUCGACCGAACACCUCUGCUGCUAGUUCCGGAGCCACCCUUCACCAACAAGAGCAAUCUACACAAUGUGCUCUAGAUUGAAUUAUACCGUCUAACGAACUUCAACGUCUUAGUCGAUUAGAACCUUAAUGGACUCCUGGUUCCACCAGAAGACCCACAGAAAAACAUGCAUGUUCACUUAUAAAUAUAGGUCUCCUAGGUUACCGUGGUAAGUCUCACUGUAAUCAACGAACGACUUACAAUAAAAAUAGUAUACGUAAUAGGGCAACUUAAUAUCGUACAUCGAGGAGUGAUGGAAGCUUCAAGAACGUUAGGUAUGUAAAUGUUAAGAACCUUGUUUUUCUUAUAAACAUACUUUCGUAAGUGUCAUGAAGAACUCUGUGGGACUAAACGACGGCGCGCGGCGCAGACCUAGUCCACGUCCAUCGGCUGUAUCCUCUCGUCCCGCCGCACCAUAAACACCACCCGCACCUCGUUCCCUCCUACUCCCGCUACCCGUACUCCCUUCCUCGUCGUUCCAGCCUCAAGGUCUGUUUUUUUAACACUACCCCUCUGGUUCGCUUCAUAAGUACUACGAGACACACAACGUUCCUUAGACUAGUAGUUGUUGAGUUAACACAUACCACCACCGAGUCGUCUUUAUAGAACGAGUUAACAACAACCUCGACGUCGCCUAGUCGUAGGACUUCAACUCGUCAUACGUUAGUUCCGCAAACGACUACGAAAACUAGGAUAGGGUUUAGUAGUCGCCUAGCCGUAGGACUUCAACUCGUCAUGCGUUAGUCCCGCGAACGACUACGAAACCUACUUUACGGGGAUACUUGACUACGUACUUAUAUAAAAGAAAACGUUUAAGUCUCUUCCAUCCAGCACCAAAGUAAAAGAGAAAUGUACAUCCUGUCCCUUUGCUGCUAGUUCCGGAACCACCCUUCACCAACAAGAGCAAUCUACGCAAUGUGCUCUAGAUUGAAUUAUACCGUCUAACGAACUUCAACGUCUUAGUCGAUUAGAACCUUAAUGGACUCCUGGUUCCACCAGAAGACCCACAGAAAAACAUGCAUGUUCACUUAUAAAUAUAGGUCUCCUAGGUUACCGUGGUAAGUCUCACUGUAAUCAACGAACGACUUACAAUAAAAAUAGUAUACGUAAUAGGGCAACUUAAUAUCGUACAUCGAGGAGUGAUGGAAGCUUCAAGAACGUUAGGUAUGUAAAUGUUAAGAACCUUGUUUUUCUUAUAAACAUACUUUCGUAAGUGUCAUGAAGAACUCUGUGGGACUAAACGACGGCGCGCGGCACAGACCUAGCCCACGUCCAGCGGCGGUAUCCUCUCGUCCCGCCGCACCAGAAACGCCACCCGCACCUCGUCCCCUCCUACUCCCGCUACCCGUACUCCCUUCCUCGUCGCUCCAGCCUCAAGGUCCGCCACGAAUAGACACUACAACACUAUUACGGUUGGUAGAUAGUACGUGUCUGUUUUUUUAACACUACCCCUCUGGUUCGCUUCAUAAGUACUACGAGACACACAACGUUCCUUAGACUAGUAGUUGUUGAGUUAACACAUACCACCACCGAGCCGUCUUUAUAGAACGAGUUAACAACAACCUCGACGUCGCCUAGUCGUAGGACUUCAACUCGUCGUACGUUAGUUCCGCAAACGACUACGAAAACUAGGAUAGGGUUUAGUAGUCGCCUAGCCGUAGGACUUCAACUCGUCAUACGUUAGUCCCGCGGACGACUACGAAACCUAGGAUAAGGCGAUCGAAAUCGACUUUUAUCACCAAACGUCGGAUAACUAUGAGAGUGGCAACAUUUUAGGGUUUUACAGUUCUCCCAGUUAUAGUUUCCCAGUAUAAAUAGGUCGCCAGGAAGGACAGCUUUCGUUCUUUUACAGAACUUUCGAUCCCUCCCUAACGACCUCACCUUUGUCUCGUUCUUGGUCUUCGUCGAGUUCUAAAACGAUGAUGGAACGAUUAUCGAAACACUCCCUCGACUGUCAACUAAUCAGUAGAAGAGUACUCCCUCGACUGUUCUACAGCCUUUCCGCGUCGGACGAUGAGUUCGGGGAGAGGAAGCGAGGAACGUCUCGUCCUCUCCGUGCCCACGGUGGUGUGAGCUCUCUGUCUACUCCUGUACUUCGAAAGCACCUCUGCUGCUCCACCGGUGGCGACGUGGGGGUGCGGCACCUACGCUUCUAAGGGUAGAGGAGACGGGAGCUAUUGGUGAAGCCGCCGCGGCACUUGUCGUCGUUACCGGAGAAGUGCCGUCCGCGUCUGGCGUCCCAGCAGAAGGAGAGGCCGGACAAGGUGUGGUAGUCUAAGUCCGGGAGAGGGAGACGUAGAGACAUUUUUAUACACAUUCCCGAAAGUUUUAAAAGAAGAAGAUCCUUACUAACUCAAGUGAGAAGAAGUACUCGGCAACUGACAACCGGGACACCUUCUCAGGACAUGCAUCUCCCACCCGACGUUUAAUAGUUAAGAUAUUGAAAGUCUGGUACCGGGGGAAAAAAGUGAAAGUAAUAAGGAGGCCGAGUUCACUAUCGGUGUAAUACUUUCCUCGCUCCCAACUGUUGGGCUAGAUGUUGUCGCUGUUAGGUCAGUCGGCGUUAACUUUUUCAGUCCUAGGGUUGUUUCCUGGAAGAUCUGUGAUACUACGUCGUCGAACCGGAAGGUUUGCGUCACAUGAGUUGUGUCUUCCGUUCCUGCCAACCAGAACUGCGUUGGUAAGUGAUAGGUAGUCUCGUGGUUAACCUGUUGGCUGAAGGUUCCUUUAGUUAUAGGUAGAUGCACAUGCCAUUUGAGUUUCUUCGACUUCAAGCUGGCCGUUGACUUCGAGAGUUCAUCAGAUUCACUUCACUUUCUUGAAUGACGUAUUAUCUAUGUUUGAAGUGUCGUUCUAGUCGUGGGUUUCGGUUGUUAGACUUUGUAUAAAACAGUGUCUAUUCUAUACAACGACUAACAGAAUUACUAUAUUCAAAUGUUAGUCUUCGGCAAUAUGUCUUUUGUUUGUUCAUAAUAACCUCGGACCUACUACUGUAGCUUCCUUAAAGACGAAACUCGUUACGUCCGGUACUUCUUGUUGUUGAUAUUUCUGAACGGUGUUUCUUUAACAAGAUUUGUAGGUUGCUAUGUACACAGAUUGUAUCGAGAAAGAUAGAUGUACGGAACGAGUAUUAUAACAUUUACUAGCAAGCAUUCGAAUAAUCUUUUGUACAUAGUAGUCGUUGGUAGAUAGAUAGUAGUUAAGUAUGAAUAAAGGUU
rnacentral:rRNA from 1 species